AUAUAUCUAUGCAUUUAAUUUCUCUAACUUUCCUACCUUUUUGUUGUUAUACACUGUACGUUAAAAUUGAAUCAAGAACAGGAAAGUUUUCAGUUAAUUUUUUGAAUGAUAUUGGGACAAAUAUUGGGAUAAUGGUAUGGUAGCUUAUGAAUGCACACAUAUGAGUACACUUAACACAAGGAGUAUUUUGUUAUGUAAUAUCUCUCCCAGUCCAAGAUUUGUUUAUUCUUAGUGGCUUUAUCAUGCCUGACAAUUUGUUUCACAACUGCAGAUGGAAGUCAGUUAAUUGUCAAGUCAAGCGAUGGCUUCCAAGUUGGAAAUGCAUUGGAUUCGGAAGGUCAACUGUCAGCCUCUAUUGUGGAUCCGUCACGAAGUUUGAUUGCAGAUUUGAGGAUUGAAGAGUUGACUUUUGUGCAUAGUAAUGGUUCCUUUGAUUUGUCAAAUAACUCACGUCCCAGCAAAGCUGAAGCCUUAUCAGAUGUAUCCCCAGAAAAUAAGAUCUAUACUGGUGAAAAUGCGAUAGAAUGCAGUUUGAUAUCUGUUGCAAAGGAGACUAAUUUGAUAGCAAAGGAUGUGAUUAAAUCAGAUGUAGUCGUGGUUGAAAAUGUGGACUCAUCUGAUAUCAUUGUGGAUGAAACAUGUGAAGGAGUGUCUAACAUAAAAGGUAGUGGUACGAUUUCUUUGGAUCACAAAGUGGCUGACGAAGCUGUUAAUCUGGUGGAAAAGAAAAGUGCUGAGUUCCUUUCUUUGCGGGCCCAAGAUGUUAUUCCUCUUGAGUUAAACUCUGCCGAAAUCACAAAUGCCUCGACAAAUGGUUUUCAGGUAGAGGCCGCACAUGUGAAACAGUUUUCCACUUCUAGUGAUGUCAACAUUUUACGAGAAAAAGAAGUAAAUGGUAAUGUGGAUACACCUCCUACACCUGAUGAUAGCCCUGAGGUAGCACAUCCUCAAAGUGAUUAUAAAGGUCUCAAAGAUCCGGAUGGAGUGGUAUCCCAAAAUCCAUUAAGCCUUCAUUCAUAUGAAUCACUGAAACAUGAAGAUGCCCCGAAUAGUGUUACCAAGGAAAAUACUUUUGUUUUUAACCCAAUCCAGUUGACUGAAAAAAGUGCCAUCCUCUCUCCAGAAGUGCAUGUUGUGAGUAGUACUAGUAGCGUGAAGGAGCCUGUAAAGUUUGACAAUAUAGAAACAAAGUCUGAAGAAAACACUGAAGUUUCUCCAGUCAAGCUAAAAAUUGAAAGUUUUGAUAGAUUGGAGGAAAUUGGUGGUAUGAAAGCUAUUGGAACUGAAAAAAAUGAGAGUCAUGUCAUUCCCUUUUUUGAAGAACAGAGAACUGUUGAUAGUUGUAAAGAUUCUCAACAGAUUAGUUUACCCGAGGCUAGUUUAGUGGCCUCGUCAAUUGAGAAUCCAAGGGAUGCAUCAUUUGCUUCUGCAACCAGUGAAACAAUUGGUGUAAUUAGCAUAUAUCAUGAGAAAAACAGAACUGAAAUAAAUGAUAUAGUUGUAGAUUGCAACAAUGUAAGAGCUAAUGUGGAAAAUGAUAUUGGAACUAAAACAAAAGAUCUCCAACCUAGUGACCUCCUGCAAUUGGAUGGCAAACAAUCAAGGAACUUAGUUAAGAGUGAUGAUGUUGGUGAAAUGGGUAAAAUUGAAAAAUGUGAUAUUACUGAAACCCCAGUUAUUUCCAAGGCCGUAGUUGAUGGAGCUACAAAAAAGGCAAAAGCUCUAGAUUGCACAAAUGGAGGUCCAAUAUUAGUUACCCGGGAAGACAUAAAAGAAGAUGACUCAUAUCAUGCACAAGAUGCAGAACGGCCAGUAAAGGGUGCAGAAAACGUUGCUAGGAAGUCUACAUCGCCUUUAAAUACGGAGCCUUCUGCUCAACAUGUUUCUGCUGUUGAAGAUAAUAGAGAGGGAGGCCCUGGUGGGGAAGCGUCUGGAAUCACUGCUGUGCCUGUACAAGACAGAAAAGAUGAAAUUAGUAGCCAUGUCAAAGUGCAUGAAGAAUAUAGCAGAUCUAUUGAUCCUUCUGGUGACUCAAAUCAGACACAUGAUGCAGAACUGUUGGUGAAGGCUGUAGAAAACCUUGCUGUGAAGUAUACAUCACUUUCUUUAAAUUCUGAGCCUUCUUCUCAGCAUGAUUCUGCUGCUGAAGAUAAUAAAGAUGGGGAGCAAGGCGAAAAAGUGUCUGGAAUUACUAAUGUGCCUGUUCAAGAUCGAAGCGUUAAUAAUUUGGUCAAACAUAGUUCAUCUGGAUUUGAUGCUUCAAUUGACUCCAGUAGCCAGUGUGACAGUUUGGAAGGCAACCAGGGCUCUGUGUCAGGUAUAUUUACACUGUUGUUUGUAAUGGAAAAUAUUUUCAGUUUUUUCACUUUAUUCAAACAUUAUCUGUUCGGGAUAUUGCAUUAUGAUAGGCUGGUCAAUGCAUUAUUGCAUUAUGAUAGGCUGGUCAAUGCCAGCUAAUGUGGUUGGACCAUGUGAAAGAAAAGUUUUCUAUAGACCAAACUGCUAUAAUGAAAAAUUGUUCCUUUUUUCACACCUUUCUUCUUCUUGCUAUGUUAUCAAUUAGAGAUUCGUGAUUCAGACACAUUAACCAUGUCCCAAACUGCUUUUUCAUUUCCAUAAUCUACCUUCUCAGCUAUAAGCCUAUUUGGAAUUGGAUCCCAGAUGUUAAGUGUAUUAUUCAUGAAAAUCUUUCUUUUACAUCAAAUGUCGGAGGCUGUAGUUCAUACUAUUGGGUGAAUUGGUACGUGUUACUGAAAAUUGUAUUCCUAUUCCAUGGCUGAUAAGAAUGGGUUAGAUCUUUUAUGUAUACACUCCUAAGCACCAAAGAGACACAUACAUGCACAUUUAUACAUUAAUAUAGACUCAUGCUAGCUACUAGUACUAUACCUGUGUGCAUCUCUGAAUGUUGCUUAGUGAAAAUUUUGAAUUAAAUUUAGUCAUUGUUCAUGGCUUUUGUAUACUUGCAAAGAUACAUGCCCAUAUCUUUUGUAUAGCAGACAAUAAUUUUAUGGGUAUUGGCUCAACAACACAAAUCCAAAAUUCGUCGAUUUCCCCAAAUGUGUGUUGUUUGCAGCCUCACCCACUUCUCAUUUUCUCUCAUGAUCUCUAUGUUUUUUCUUUUUUAUUUAGCUGACAGCUAGAUUCGUACAAUUCAUGUCGUACCAUCUAGCAUCACUCAUAUUUUACAUGUUUUCCAUCCAUAUUCAAUACCUAUUGGUUUGGUGUGACCCCAUUGAGCGAAAAUGUAUUUGAUUUACCUGUUCAAUAUUCGUUAAACAGUUAUCUCAUUGAAAUCCGAUGCUCCAGCUGUUAUCGAUAAUGAAACUUUACCAUUAACUGGUUCGCUGGCAUCAACAGAGGCAGGGAAAUCCAAUGUGAAUAAGCCCGAAGAAUCAUUUCACAAACAGCAGACUGGGAUACCAGAAAUGUCUAAAUCACCAUCUUUCAUGACACUGGUUGAACCUGUACACGUGUUUAACCCUAAAGCUGCUGCCUGUGAAGUCGAGAAAGGAUCAAACCCACAACAGUCGGAUUCCACUUCACAGACUGGUUCCAUUUUAACACAGGUUAUUAAUAAGUCUCCAGGGAGAAAGAAAAAUGAAGAAAUAAUAGCAAAGGUAACAAACCCGGGCACCCGUAAGGUGCGUACACCUCUAAAGAGCCUCUUGGAUGAGGCUACCGAUAGCGACAAGGCAAAGUCUUCAACAUUUGGAGUACAUGCAUCGAAUCAGGAAAAUGGUAAAUUUCCAGAACAUAGUAGUUCCAAGUUGAAGACUGUGAACUCCAUUCUAGGCACAGAAUCGCCUGCAGCUCAAGCCGUGAAAGGAGAAACCACAAAAGAGUGGAACUCACCGGCAAGAUAUCCUGCAGGCACCAAGGAAGAAAAAGGGAAACUCACCAGCAGAUCAUUCUGGAUACAACUGGUAUGUUGCUCAUCAGAGGAUCGUCAGCCUUCGAGAAGAUAAAACAUUCC
rnacentral:lncRNA from 1 species